GCCAAGCUAGCCAAGUCGGUCACGGCGCGUGUCUGAAAAACAUGAGAUUGAGGUUCGAUUCCUCAGCUUGGCA
rnacentral:tRNA from 1 species